rnacentral:rRNA from 1 species
AGCGAACGCUGGCGGCAGGCCUAACACAUGCAAGUCGAACGAACCUUUCGGGGUUAGUGGCGGACGGGUGAGUAACACGUGGGAACGUGCCUUUAAGUUCGGAAUAACUCAGGGAAACUUGUGCUAAUACCGAAUGUGCCCUUCGGGGGAAAGAUUUAUCGCCUUUAGAGCGGCCCGCGUCUGAUUAGCUAGUUGGUUGAGGUAAUGGCUCACCAAGGCGACGAUCAGUAGCUGGUCUGAGAGGAUGAUCAGCCACAUUGGGACUGAGACACGGCCCAAACUCCUACGGGAGGCAGCAGUGGGGAAUCUUGCGCAAUGGGCGAAAGACUGACGCAGCCAUGCCGCGUGAAUGAUGAAGGUCUUAGGAUUGUAAAAUUCUUUCACCGGGGACGAUAAUGACGGUACCCGGAGAAGAAGCCCCGGCUAACUUCGUG